rnacentral:rRNA from 1 species
GACGAACGCUGGCGGCGUGCCUAAUACAUGCAAGUAGAACGCUGAAGACUUUAGCUUGCUAAAGUUGGAAGAGUUGCGAACGGGUGAGUAACGCGUAGGUAAACUGCCUACUAGCGGAGGAUAACUAUUGGAAACGAUAGCUAAUACCGCAUAACAGCAUUUAACCCAUGUUAGAUGCUUGAAAGGAGCAAUUGCUUCACUAGUAGAUGGACCUGCGUUGUAUUAGCUAGUGGGUGAGGUAACGGCUCACCAAGGCGACGAUACAUAGCCGACCUGAGAGGGUGAUCGGCCACACUGGGACUGAGACACGGCCCAGACUCCUACGGGAGGCAGCAGUAGGGAAUCUUCGGCAAUGGGGGCAACCCUGACCGAGCAACGCCGCGUGAGUGAAGAGGGUUUUCGGAUCGUAAAGCUCUGUUGUAAGAGAAGAACGUGUGUGAGAGUGGAAAGUUCACACAGUGACGGUAACUUACCAGAAAGGGACGGCUAACUACGUGCCAGCAGCCGCGGUAA